GCCGGGUAUGGUGGCUCAUGCCUGUAAUCCCAGCACUUUGGGAGGCCGAGACAGGUGAAUCACUUGAGGUCAGGAGUUCCAGACCAGCCUGGCCAACAUGGUGAAACCCUGUCUCUA
ensembl:misc_RNA Metazoa_SRP Metazoan signal recognition particle RNA